rnacentral:rRNA from 1 species
GACGAACGCUGGCGGCGUGCUUAACACAUGCAAGUCGAACGGAAAGGCCUGCUUUCCCUUGUGGAUUGCGGGUACUCGAGUGGCGAACGGGUGAGUAACACGUGAGUGAUCUGCCCCCAACUUGGGUAUAAGACUGGGAAACUGGGUCUAAUUCCCGAUAGGACUGCAGGGUGGUGCCUGUGGUGGAAAACGAUUUUCUAGUGGUUGGGGAUGAGCUCGCGGCCUAUCAGGCUGUUGGUGGGGUAAUGGCCUACCAAGGCGGCGACGGGUAGCCGGCCUGAGAGGGGGGACGCCCACAUUGGGACUGAGAUACGGCCCAGACUCCUACGGGAGGCAGCAGUGGGGAAGAUUGCACAAUGGGCGGAAGCCUGAUGCAGCGACGCCGCGUGGGGGAUGACGGCCUUCGGGUUGUAAACUCCUUUCGACCUCGAGGAAGCCACCUGGUUGGAAGGGUGGUGACGGUAGUGGUAGAAGAAGCACCGGCUAACUACGUG